AUCAUUACUGAGUUACCGCUCUAUAACCCUUUGUGAACAUACCUAACUGUUGCUUCGGCGGGCAGGGGGUCCCCCCGGGGACGCCCUCCCGGCCACGCCCUUCGCGGGGCGAGGCGCCUGCCGGAGGAUACCAAACUCUAUUUUAACGACGUUUCUUCUGAGUGGCACAAGCAAAUAAUUAAAACUUUUAACAACGGAUCUCUUUGGUUCUGGCAUCGAUGAAGAACGCAGCGAAAUGCGAUAAGUAAUGUGAAUUGCAGAAUUCAGUGAAUCAUCGAAUCUUUGAACGCACAUUGCGCCCGCCAGCAUUCUGGCGGGCAUGCCUGUUCGAGCGUCAUUUCAACCCUCAAGCUCUGCUUGGUGUUGGGGCCCUACGGUUGACGUAGGCCCUUAAAGGCAGUGGCGGACCCUCUCGGAGCCUCCUUUGCGUAGUAACUAACGUCUCGCAUUGGGAUCCGAAGGGACUCUUGCCGUAAAACCCCCCAAUUUUCUAAUGGUUGACCUCGGAUCAGGUAGGAAUACCCGCUGAACUUAAGCAUAUCAAUA
rnacentral:rRNA from 1 species